rnacentral:rRNA from 1 species
UGGUUAAGUGAAUAAGGGCGUACGGUGAAUGCCUUGGCACUAGGAGCCGAUGAAGGACGGGACGAACACCGAUAUGCUUCGGGGAGCUGUAAGUAAGCUUUGAUCCGGAGAUUUCCGAAUGGGGGAACCUCAUUGUUUUUAUCGACAAUGGUCCACUCAGUGAACACAUAGCUGAGUGGAAGGUAGACGUGGUGAACUGAAACAUCUCAGUAGCCACAGGAAGAGAAAGAAAAAUCGAUUUCCCGAGUAGCGGCGAGCGAAACGGAAAGAGGCCAAACCAGCGUGCUUGCAUGCUGGGGUUGUAGGACUGAUGGACGGGAGUGAAUGAGCUAGUCGAACGCCAUGGAAAGGGCGAUCAAAGAGGGUGACAAUCCCGUAGGCGAAAGCUCAGCCACCUCAUUCAGUAUCCUGAGUACGGCGGUACACGUGAAAUUCCGUCGGAAUCCGCCAGGACCAUCUGGCAAGCCUAAAUACUCCCUAGUGACCGAUAGUGAACCAGUACCGUGAGGGAAAGGUGAAAAGCACCCCGGAAGGGGAGUGAAAGAGUACCUGAAACCGUAUGCCUACAAGCAGUCAGAGCCCGUUAAGGGGUGAUGGCGUACUUUUUGUAGAACGGACCGGCGAGUGACGAUAGCAAGCAAGGUUAAGCUGAAGAAGCGGAGCCACAGCGAAAGCGAGUCUGAAGAGGGCGUUGAGUUUGUUGUCGUCGACCCGAAACCAAGUGAUCUACUCAUGUCCAGGCUGAAGGUGUGGUAAAACACACUGGAGGGCCGAACCCACGUCUGUUGAAAAAGGCGGGGAUGAGGUGUGGGUAGCGGUGAAAUUCCAAUCGAACUUGGAGAUAGCUGGUUCUCUCCGAAAUAGCUUUAGGGCUAGCCUCGGAUGAUGACUAUUGGAGGUAGAGCACUGUUUGAUCGAGGGGUCCAUCCUGGAUUACCGACAUCUGAUAAACUCCGAAUGCCAAAUAGUUUAGUCCGGGAGUCAGACUGCGAGUGAUAAGAUCCGUAGUCGAAAGGGAAAGAGCCCAGACCACCAGCUAAGGUCCCAAAGUUUCAGUUAAGUGGAAAAGGAUGUGGGGUUGCUUAGACAACUAGGAUGUUGGCUUAGAAGCAGCCAUCAUUGAAAGAGUGCGUAAUAGCUCACUAGUCGAGUGACCCUGCGCCGAAAAUGUACCGGGGCUAAACUGAACACCGAAGCUGUGGAUCCGUAGGAUGGUAGGAGAGCGUUCUAUAGGCAGAGAAGCAUGAUCGUGAGGACAUGUGGAGCGUAUAGAAGUGAGAAUGCCGGUAUGAGUAGCGAAAGACGGGUGAGAAUCCCGUCCACCGAAUGACUAAGGUUUCCUGGGGAAGGCUCGUCCUCCCAGGGUUAGUCGGGACCUAAGCCGAGACCGAAAGGGAUAGGCGAUGGACAACAGGUUGAGAUUCCUGUACUUGUUUGAUUUGUUUGAGCGAUGGAAGGACACAGAAGGCUAAGCGGAGCGCGGAGAUGGAAAAACGCGUCCAAGCAAUGAGUGAGAAGGUGAGUGAAAGGCUUGCCUCAGACUUCAUGAGUUGUGACGGGGAGGGAAGUUUAGUACCGAAGCCGCCGACGUCACGCUGUCAAGAAAAGUUUCUAGUGAGAAUCAAACAACCCGUACCGCAAACCGACACAGGUAGUCGAGUGGAGAACACUAAGGUGAGCGAGCGAACUCUCGUUAAGGAACUCGGCAAAAUGACCCCGUAACUUCGGGAGAAGGGGUGCUGACCGCAAGGUCAGCCGCAGUGAAUAGGCCCAAGCGACUGUUUAUCAAAAACAUAGGUCUCUGCCAAAUCGAAAGAUGAUGUAUAGAGGCUGACGCCUGCCCGGUGCUGGAAGGUUAAGAGGAAGGGUUAGCGUAUGCGAAGCUCUGAAUUGAAGCCCCAGUAAACGGCGGCCGUAACUAUAACGGUCCUAAGGUAGCGAAAUUCCUUGUCAGGUAAGUUCUGACCCGCACGAAAGGCGUAACGAUUUGGGCACUGUCUCAACGAGAGGCUCGGUGAAAUUGUAGUACCAGUGAAGAUGCUGGUUACCCGCGACAGGACGGAAAGACCCCAUGGAGCUUUACUGUAGGUUGAUAUUGAAUGUUUGUGCCACAUGUACAGGAUAGGUAGGAGCCAUCGAAGUCGGGACGCUAGUCUCGAUGGAGGCACUGGUGGGAUACUACCCUUGUGGGAUGACCAUUCUAACCCGCGACCAUUAGCUGGUCGGGAGACAGUGUCAGUCAGGCAGUUUGACUGGGGCGGUCGCCUCCUAAAGUGUAACGGAGGCGCCCAAAGGUUCCCUCAGAAUGGUUGGAAAUCAUUCGCAGAGUGUAAAGGCAGAAGGGAGCUUGACUGCGAGACCUACAAGUCGAGCAGGGACGAAAGUCGGGCUUAGUGAUCCGGUGGUUCCGCAUGGAAGGGCCAUCGCUCAACGGAUAAAAGCUACCCUGGGGAUAACAGGCUUAUCUCCCCCAAGAGUUCACAUCGACGGGGAGGUUUGGCACCUCGAUGUCGGCUCAUCGCAUCCUGGGGCUGAAGUCGGUCCCAAGGGUUGGGCUGUUCGCCCAUUAAAGCGGUACGCGAGCUGGGUUCAGAACGUCGUGAGACAGUUCGGUCCCUAUCCGUCGCGGGCGUUGGAAAUUUGAGAGGAGCUGUCCUUAGUACGAGAGGACCGGGAUGGACACACCGCUGGUGUACCAGUUGUUCCACCAGGAGCAUGGCUGGGUAGCUAUGUGUGGACGGGAUAAGCGCUGAAAGCAUCUAAGCGUGAAGCCCCCCUCAAGAUGAGAUUUCCCAUACUUUAAAAGUAGUAAGACCCCUGAAAGACGAUCAGGUUGAUAGGUUUGGAGUGGAAGCUUAGCAAUAAGUGGAGCGGACAAAUACUAAUCGGUCGAGGACUUAUCCAAA